rnacentral:rRNA from 1 species
UUAAGAUACUAAGGGCAUACGGCGGAUGCCUUGGCGAUAUCUGCCGAAGAAGGACGCGACAAGCUGCGAAAAGCUGCGGAGAGGCGCAAAUAGCCAUUGAACCGCAGAUAUCCGAAUGGAGAAAUCCGGCAGGGCUCAUCCCCUGUCAUCCAUGCCAUAGAGCAUGAGAAGGUAAGCCGGUGAACUGAAACAUCUAAGUAGCCGGAGGAGAAGAAAUCAAACGAGAUACCCCAAGUAGCGGCGAGCGAACGGGGCAGAAGCCCAAACCGGAGAAGGAAACUUCACCGGGGUUGAGGACCGUCAGAGCUUAAGAGGAAGUUAGCCGAAACGCCUGGGAAGGCGUGCCGAAGACAGUGAGAGCCUGGUAGGCGAAAACGGAGACUUAGGAGACGGAAUCCAGAGUACCGCGGGACACGAGAAACCCCGUGGGAAGCAGGGGGGACCACCCUCCAAGGCAAAACACAGAUAUCGACCGAUAGCGCAUAGUACCGUGAGGGAAAGGUGAAAAGCACCCCGGGAGGGGAGUGAAAUAGAACCUGAAACCGUAUGUUUACAAGCAGUCGGAGACCGUAUAUAUACCAGGUCGACGGCGUGCCUAUUGAAGAAUGAACCAGCGAGUUACGAGGACCGGCAAGGUUAAGCAGGAAAUGCGGAGCCGAAGCGAAAGCGAGUCUUAAUAGGGCGAGAGUCGGAAUGCGUAGACCCGAAACCACAGUGAUCUACCCAUGUCCAGGCUGAAACACAGGUAAAAAUGUGCGGAGGGCCGAACCUAUAUCUGUUGAAAAAGGUUAGGAUGAGGUGUGGGUAGGGGUGAAAUUCCAAUCGAACGUGGAGAUAGCUGGUUCUCCCCGAAAUAGCUUUAGGGCUAGCCUCAGGUGGUGAUUACAGGCGGUAGAGCACUGAUCAGGAGAGGGACCUACCCGGUUACCAAACCCAGUCAAACUCCGAAUGGCUGUAAUCAAACCUGGGAGUCAGACUACGACUUAUAAGGGCCGUGGUCAAGAGGGAAACAGCCCAGAUCAUCAGCUAAGGUCCCAAAUGCCGUGCUAAGUGGCGAAGGAUGUGGCGUUUCAUAAACAACCAGGAUGUUGGCUCAGAAGCAGCCACCAUUCAAAGAGUGCGUAAUAGCUCACUGGUCGAGAGACGCUGCGCCGAAGAUGUCCGGGGCUCAAGCACGGAACCGAAGCUAUGGCAGAUUGCUUGCAAUCUGGGUAGGGGAGCGUUCUUAUCACGGAGAAGCGGUACCGGAAGGAGCCGUGGAGAGGUAAGAAGUGAGAAUGCUGGUAUGAGUAUCGAAAAGGCUGGUGAGAAUCCAGCCCACCGAAAGCCCGAGGGUUCCUGAGCAACGAUCGUCGUCUCAGGGUAAGUCGGGACCUAAGCCGAGGCAAAGACGCAUAGGCGAUGGAGAACAGGUUGAAAUUCCUGUACCGGAGCAGUCCGUCUGAGCGAUGGAGUGACGCAGCAGGGCACACGAGCAUGCGGCUGGAAGAGCAUGUCCAAGCCCGUAGCCCGUAUGGCAGGGAAAUCCGCCAUGCAGAAGGGUGAGAGGUGACGGGGAGUUAAAGGAAACUUUGACGAACUCGUGAAUCCCACACUGCCAAGAAAAGCUUCUAGCGAGGACUGAUCCGCCCGUACCGUAAACCGACACAGGUAGGCGGGGAGAGAAUCCUAAGGUGCGCGGGAAAACCCUCGUUAAGGAACUCGGCAAAUUGCAUCCGUAACUUCGGAAGAAGGAUGGCCCUGAGUAGGCGAAGAGUCUAGCACUUGGAACCGGAAAGGGCGGCAGAAAAGAGGCCCAAGCAACUGUUUACCAAAAACACAGGUGCCUGCGAAAGCGAAAGCUGACGUAUAGGUGCUGACGCCUGCCCGGUGCUGGAAGGUUAAGGAGAGAGGUUAGCGCAAGCGAAGCUUUGAACUGAAGCCCCAGUGAACGGCGGCCGUAACUAUAACGGUCCUAAGGUAGCGAAAUUCCUUGUCAGGUAAG